UUAAAAUUUACCUUGCUACUUUUCUUAAAGUGGUGUUGGUGAUUUUUUAGGAACUCUGUCCUAUAACAUUUGGAGGUUCCACUGAGAUCCAGAGGAUUUCUGGGCCCGGCAGCUUUGGGAAACUCUCUGAGAAGGGAGCUGCCCAGCAGUAUUCUGAGGACUCCCCAGUAGGGGACCUGCAUCAGCCUUGGCUGUAGGGCAGUACAGGCAAACUCCCUGAGAGGGGACUUGCAUCAGUCCCAGCUGCUUCGGCUUCCCCAGUCAGACCUCCAGUUUCUCCCUCCACACCACCAGCAAGUCAUCACAGGCUCUGCAAAAUGCUCUGAUCCAGAUACAUGGACUAGUCCAGGAGACUCAUGAGCCCAGUCAUCCCUCACUGACCACUGAACAGACAGAUCUACAACCUGGUGAUUGGAGUUGAGUCCAUAGACAUCAAGUGCCUAACCUUGAACCCAAGUGGGCUGGUCUGUAUCCAAUCAUUUUGCUGACUCCAACUGCUGUUAAGGUUGCUGGACAUGCCCACUGGAGUCACCGUUCCCAAGUUAAGAGAGCCCAUCCGGACCACAUUCCUCAAACAUGGACAGUAAAAAGAACAGACAAUCCCCUCAAGGUCAGACUGGU